rnacentral:rRNA from 1 species
UACAGGGGGGGCAAGCGUUGUUCGGAAUUACUGGGCGUAAAGGGCUCGUAGGCGGCCAACUAAGUCACACGUGAAAUCCCCAGGCUCAACCUGGGAACUGCGUGUGAUACUGGAUGGCUUGAGUAUGGGAGAGGGAUGUAGAAUUCCAGGUGUAGCGGUGAAAUGCGUAGAUAUCUGGAGGAAUACCGGUGGCGAAGGCGGCAUCCUGGACCAUUACUGACGCUGAGGCGCGAAAGCUAGGGGAGCAAACGGG